GAUGAACGCUGGCGGCGUGCCUAAUACAUGCAAGUCGAGCGAACAGAUGAGGAGCUUGCUCCUCUGACGUUAGCGGCGGACGGGUGAGUAACACGUGGAUAACCUACCUAUAAGACUGGGAUAACUUCGGGAAACCGGAGCUAAUACCGGAUAAUAUAUUGAACCGCAUGGUUCAAUAGUGAAAGACGGUUUUGCUGUCACUUAUAGAUGGAUCCGCGCCGCAUUAGCUAGUUGGUAAGGUAACGGCUUACCAAGGCAACGAUGCGUAGCCGACCUGAGAGGGUGAUCGGCCACACUAGAACUGAGACACGGUCCAGACUCCUACGGGAGGCAGCAGUAGGGAAUCGUCCGCAAUGGGCGAAAGCCUGACGGAGCAACGCCGCGUGAGUGAUGAAGGUCUUCGGAUCGUAAAACUCUGUUAUUAGGGAAGAACAAAUGUGUAAGUAACUAUGCACGUCUUGACGGUACCUAAUCAGAAAGCCACGGCUAACUACGUG
rnacentral:rRNA from 1 species